rnacentral:piRNA from 1 species
UCCUUCAACGUGUUCAUGAACUGGAGAAGA